rnacentral:lncRNA from 1 species
GUGUUCCCUUGGAAGUUAGGAAUUCCCUUUCUCUCCACAUUGCUGCGUGGGCAUGGAGGACUAGUCUGUCUGUCUACACAUCAUCUACGAAGUGAAAGAACGUGCUUGGGAACGGUCAACACCUGAAGAAGGAGAGGGGACCUCAGGAGAGGAUCUUGGAGGAGGCACGCAUGAACUUCUGCCGGUCUGUUUAAGCACUUGGCCUUCACAGAGAGCCAGGCACCCUGAAUGCAGAGCAGAGGCCAGUUCUUCUACCCAUGGGAAUGGACAGUGCCAGGGGAGGAACGGCUGUCACAGAGCCUUGCAGUCAGGUGGACAAAUAGCAGCUGUGGACACAAACUUUCAUGCAUGUCCGUGUGAAGAGAUCACCAAACAGGCUUUGUGUGAGCAAUAAAAGCUUUUAAUUGCCUGGGCACAGGCAGGCUGAGUCCGAAAAGAGAGUCAG